CGUCAUCAUGUCGUUUUAAAGACUUAACAGUCUGUGAUUUGUGUUUGUUAUUUGAUAGAUUAAAUUUGAACAUCAUGCGUCAUCUAGAUUUGACUUAUUGUAUUAUUGUGUGUUAAAUUUGCUAGUCAUUUAGACAGGGUGAUGCAUGCGCACUUUCGUGUACGUGUCUCACACGUACGCUGCUAUUUAAGUGCGUGACCACUCUCUGCCUCAUAGACAAUUUCGCACUGACACACAUGCGCGCCACACUGUUUGAAACACUUUGUUGUUUUGUGCGGUACUAUAAAGUAUUCUCAGAUGGCGUAACGAUGUAGGUUUGCCUCGAAAUAUUCCAGCGUGAGAAUUUUGUUUUGUUCAAUCGGUGCGAUAACGACGAGCGCACAUUCCACACUUUCGACUUGUGUUAUUCUUUGAUAUAAGUUCGGUAAUUCGUGUUAUAUUUCCUGAUCGCCGGUGAUAAUUAGUGUUAAUAAACGUAUUGGGUCUUUUAUCAGCUAUUUAUCGCGGGUAUAAUCUUGGUAAUUGUAAAUUUUGCGUGUUUAAUUUAUUCACGUAUUCGUGAGUGCGUUACUGUCGGUCGACGGCCGAUGAUAAUAUCAACGCUAUGAACGCUAAUUGACUUGGGAAAAACAUAUUUCUCAUCAACAGAGGAGCAUGGAUCAAUGUGCUACCAGUAUUCGCAAACUUGCUGUCGAUAUUCCGUCUGCCAUAACAGCGUGUGCAUCUCAACAGCGAUAGUGACCUCGUGCAGUUACUGUCGGUUGUUUGCAACUCAAGGCAUACGCAGUUCCAUUUCGGUUGUCGAGUGAAUCCCGGGUUUUCAUUACUACUAGUUUUCGUUCUUCAAAUCAUAAUUAGAUAAAUUGCGAAAUGUUCAAUUAACAAUUUAAUUGACGGCAUUUACUGAAAUCGGAUGUGAACAUGGCUUUUCUGGUGAGAUAGCAUGUGUUGAAUGAUCAUCAAUCACGAAGUUAUCGGUGGUUCACCUAUGCGCAUGAGAUGUUCCGUCGGCCGUCGGUGAUGGCUUUUCGCUUGUGGAAUUACAUUGCACUCGUGUUGACCUAUGUGUAAAUAACGUGUCCACACAUACUUAAUAAUAAUUUGGAUUUAUGUGUAAUUAGUAUAAAUAAACAACGUUGAUGCCUGUUAAAGAAGUUUAAGAACACUUGUGAAAAGCAGUCUACCGCUUCUGUCGCAGAAAUGCUAAAGAAGCGCAAGUUGAUUACAAGGCAAGUUUUACUUUCAGGAUAUUUAAGAGGUGUCUAUGAUUUUCGAUUAAAAAAAAUUAUGUAGUUUUUAUUUAAUGUUGCUAAUAAAACAUAAUAUA